AUUGAACGCUGGCGGAAUGCGUUACACAUGCAAGUCGAACGGUAGAGGGGGCAACCCCUCGAGAGUGGCGAACGGGUGAGUAAUAUAUCGGAACGUGCCGAGUCGUGGGGGAUAACGUAGCGAAAGUUACGCUAAUACCGCAUACGAUCUAAGGAUGAAAGCGGGGGAUCGCAAGACCUCGCGCGAUUGGAGCGGCCGAUAUCAGAUUAGGUAGUUGGUGGGGUAAAGGCUCACCAAGCCAACGAACUGUAGCUGGUCUGAGAGGACGACCAGACACACUGGAACUGAGACGCAGUCAUGACUCCAACUGGAGGCAGCAACGGGGAAUUUUGGACAAUGGACGCAAGUCUGAUACAGCCAUUCCGCGUGCAGUAUGACAUCCUUCGGGUUGUAAACUGCUUUUAUACGCAACGAAAAGGUCUCCCUGACUACGGUGGCCUCAUGACGGUACCGUAAGAAUAAGCACCGGCUAACUACGUGCCAGCCGCCGCGGUAA
rnacentral:rRNA from 1 species